CCUACGGGAGGCAGCAGUGGGGAAUAUUGGGCAAUGGGCGCAAGCCUGACCCAGCAAUGCCGCGUGAAGGAAGAAGGCUUUCGGGUUGUAAACUUCUUUGACAGGGGAAGAGCAGAAGACGGUACCCUGAAAACAAGCCACGGCUAACUACGUGCCAGCAGCCGCGGUAAUACGUAGGUGGCAAGCGUUGUCCGGAUUUACUGGGUGUAAAGGGCGUGUAGCCGGGAAGGCAAGUCAGAUGUGAAAUCUGGAGGCUCAACCUCCAAAUUGCAUUUGAAACUGUUUUUCUUGAGUACUGGAGAGGCAGACGGAAUUGCUUGGGUAGCGGUGAAAUGGGUAGAUAUAAGGAGGAACACCAGUGGCGAAGGCGGUCUGCUGGACAGCAACUGACGGUGAGGCGCGAAAGCGUGGGGAGCAAACAGGAUUAGAUACCCCAGUAGUC
rnacentral:rRNA from 1 species